rnacentral:rRNA from 1 species
UGAGGAAUAUUGGGCAAUGCCCGCAAGGGUGACCCAGCAACGCCGCGUGGAGGAUGAAUGUCGUAAGAUUGUAAACUCCUGUUAGAGGGGAAGAAUAGUACCGGUUGGACCGGUAUAUGACUGUACCCUCAGAGAAAGCCCCGGCUAACUACGUGCCAGCAGCCGCGGUAAUACGUAGGGGGCAAGCGUUGUCCGGAUUUACUGGGUGUAAAGGGCGCGCAGGCGGGAUAAAAAGUCAGUGGUGAAAUCCUACAGCUUAACUGUAGAACUGCCUUUGAUACUUUUAUUCUUGAGUUCGGGAGAGAGAGACGGAAUUCCAGGUGUAGUGGUGGAAUACGUAGAUAUCCGGAAGAACACCAGUUGCGAAGGCGGUCUCUUGGUCCGACACUGACGCUGAGGCGCGAAAGCGUGGGGAGCAAACA